rnacentral:tRNA from 1 species
AUUACUUUAGUAAAAUAAUAUUAUAUCAUCUUGAUAAGGUGAAGUUCCUUAAGGAAGUAAUA